GUAGUCUUCAAAAGUGGAAUUAGGACACAAUUCCUCUGCAAUUUCUUCUUCUCCGGCCUUCGCUUCCCAUCUUUGUGAUAUCAUGCAACUAAGAGGCAACAUCAAUCAAAUAAUAACUGAUACACCGGAUUGGAUAUGUAAGGUCCAAAUUGUCGACAUAGGUCGAGAACGAGAGAGUCCCGAGAAAAAAGUUAGAUUUCAAAAUCAUAUUUUCGAGGAUAAAGAGGAGCAACAAAUUCGGGGAGUCGUGUAUGGCGAUGCCAUUCCGUAUUAUGCCGACAAGUUUAAACUCUUACAGAUAUAUCUAAUCUCCACUGCAAAAGUUAAAGUUUCAUCAACUUUAUAUGGUCCACCAAUAUAUAAAUUUUAUUAGGUGGUUGAUCGCGAGACUAUAGUGGAACAUAUUGAGCCAAAUAAUGAGAGUGAGAAACCACUACUACCACCGGCGAAGUUGAAUAUCACUUCUUUCGACCACAUUGCUCAUAUGACUCCACACAUUGCUACAGAAAUUGGUUAUUUACCCCUAUCAUCUGUUACCUUUACCUUGAUGAAAUAUUUGGCUUCUAUAGAAUAAAUGUAUUCCCCUUAUUAUAUUUCUUCGCUCUGGAAAGAUCAUUCUAUUUUUUUCCCAAGCAGAUAUACUAGGAGUCGUUGUCCGUUGUGGCUGUCUAAAGUAUGCAGGUCGUGCUUCAAAUAGGUGACGGAAGAUUAUUGUUAUAGACAGUCAGAAAAAGCAGUUUCUGCUCAAUUUAUGGGAGGACUUUGCAGACAUUGAAGGAACCGAGCUUUCGGGAAAAAUUGAAAAAAAUGAAGGAUAUCCUAUAAUUCUUGGAAGAAUUUCUUUCAAAAAGUGCUUACCAUAGCAAAUACGAAGACUUGAUAGAAUCAUGACUAAAGUGCCGCAGGAAAGUCUACCAACACUGCAUCAUAAAAUAGUACCAAAGGCAACAUGAAGUGUAUACCCAUCUCUCUGUGGAGACUCAAAACUGUUUGAUCUUUUUGCAAAUUAGCUCUUCAUAGCAUGUUGCUUUGGAAUUUGCUAGAUUCGAUGCCGUCUAUUUUUUGAUAUGGUGUUGUAUUUAGUUUGAACAAACUUUUUAAUUCAUUAACCAAAUUAUGUUGUU